AGGAAAAUUUCCCUAUCGAUUUCAAGAAACACGAGGUUGUGUGCUUUCUGUGUAAAUCGGCUCUCGGCUACUGAUCUAUCGUUAGAAACUUUUAACUGUAAAACAGAACAAUAUAUUUAAAAACUUUUUCAGUUUAUAUGUUGCAAUUCUCUAUUUUUUAUGUUUUGAUAAGAAAAUUUUCCUAUCGAUUUUAAGAAACACGGGGUUGUGUGCUUAUUCAAUGCAUAUUUGCUCUGGGCUCCUGGUCUGUCUUUAGAUACUUUCAACUAAUAAACAAAACUCUUUUUUCCAGUUUGGGUGUUGCAAUUUUUUGAAUGUUUUGAAGACAUUUUGGUUUUUUUUAUUUUGACGGCCAUAGCUGCGACUCCCGGCACCCCGCCCCCUAAGACGUGGAGGUGAAUGGCCACCGACGGGCCACCGACCACCUGGUGGGGUUAAUUCGGGCUCAUUGAGAUCUUCUGAUCGCCCAGAGUCCAUGGGGCGGCAAAUUGCGCUGCGCAUGCGCUCGGGCCGCACGGAAAAUAGCUCGGGGACGCGAUCUCUCCCUGACACGUCUUCUGGCUCAGUCGCCCUCGCCGCCCGACCCACUCUCUUUUUUGUGCUAUUUCUCGACCGGUACUUUCACACCUCGUGCGGUCGUGAUGCAGCCAAGUGAGCGGAGCUGGUACCCCGCCAAGUGCCCGCAGGUAGACAGAGCGCGGCAGACUUUCACUGACAUCUCACUCACCUUCGCUCUGCUACAUCACCUGUGUUCGCCCUCCAUUGUCUCUGGUGGUGAGGUGGUUGGGCGCAGAUUGUUCAUCUUGUUUUAGAUUCAUGAAUCACUCAUUAUGGUUCUUGGAAAGCGCUUGGCUUGUCAACUGAGGGAUCAUAUGACUGUACAACGCAGUUAGAAAACUGAGUACUGAAAUCAUACAUCGCAGUCAGCCAACUGAGUACUGGAAUGAUAUGACUGUGCACAUCGCUGUCAGCCAACUGAGUACUGGGAUCAUAUGACUGUGUAAAUCGUUUCAGCCAACUGAGUACUGAUAUCUUACAUCGCAGUCAGCCAACUGAGUACUGGAAUGAUAUGACUGUGCACUUCGCUGUCAGCCAACUGAGUACUGGGAACAUGUGACUGUGUACAUCGUUUCAGCCAACUGAGUAACUGAUAUCUUAUCGCAUAGCCAACUGAGUACUGAUAUCAUACAUCGCAGUCAGCCAACUGAGUACUGAUAUCAUACAUCGCAGUCAGCCAACUGAGUACUGUGAUCAUCAUACAUCGCAGUCAGCCAACUGAGUACUGAUAUCAUACAUCGCAGUCAGCCAACUGAGUACUGUGAUCAUAUGACUGUGUACAUCGUUUCAGCCAACUGAGUACUGAUAUCAUAUGACUGUGUACAUCGCUGUCAGCCAACUUAGUACUGGGAUCAUAUGACUGUGUACAUCGUUUCAGCCAACUGAGUACUGAUAUCAUACAUCGCAGUCAGCCAACUGAGUACUGUGAUCAUGUGACUGUGUACAUCGUUUCAGCCAACUGAGUACUGAUAUCAUACAUUGCAGUCAGCCAACUGAGUACUGGGAUCAUGUGACUGUGUACAUCAACCCCCUCCCCCAUCGAAAAAAAAACACUAGCGAUACAGAAGUCAUAUUAUAGUCACAUUCGUCGCCACAUAAUGAGUUAUGUGCUUAACCCUAUGUAUAAAGUAUUUCUAUGCCUGAGGAAGAGGGUAGAUUCCAAUCCUUGAAACGUAGUGUUCUUUUAACACAAAACGAUGCCAAAAUAUCCCAAAAUCCUGCUCCCUCUCCCCUUAUACUCUGGAAAUACUUUAAUGAAGGUUUACGUUGCUUAAGUCGUGAUUUUAGGUUUCUGCGUCUACACUAUGUGAAAACAUUAACACCGCCACUGCAAUCUCGAGAUACUUUGUUUAGCUGCGAAGAGCCAAGCCCAGUGAAAAUAUUUUGAAACUGGUUCAAUCUGAAACUGGAAUUAUAUCGAAGUCGGAAUCUAUGUUUCAUCAAAUACCCUACUAUUGUAUAAGAAUAAUACGAGAACCCCUAACAUAUCAAGAAAAGAACUAACUUCAGCAAAAAAGAUAGUAAAGCUGUCGAAAACCUGUUAGACUGUGAAAAGAAGUUAUAGCCUAUUGGGCGAAAAACUGAAGAAACAUUGGUAGGCCUAGUAGGACAUUUUUGGUUGUUUUCUGAGAUGUACUUAGCUCGGCUGUGUCAUUUGGGAUUUCACUAAAGACUUCUAGUCAAACCUGUGUAUUUCCAGAAUGUAUUAAGAAAUAUGCACUAAACCCAGA
rnacentral:lncRNA from 1 species